GAUGAACGCUGGCGGCGUGCCUAAUACAUGCAAGUCGAGCGAACAGACGAGGAGCUUGCUCCUCUGACGUUAGCGGCGGACGGGUGAGUAACACGUGGAUAACCUACCUAUAAGACUGGGAUAACUUCGGGAAACCGGAGCUAAUACCGGAUAAUAUAUUGAACCGCAUGGUUCAAUAUUGAAAGACGGUUUUGCUGUCACUUAUAGAUGGAUCCGCGCCGCAUUAGCUAGUUGGUAAGGUAACGGCUUACCAAGGCAACGAUGCGUAGCCGACCUGAGAGGGUGAUCGGCCACACUGGAACUGAGACACGGUCCAGACUCCUACGGGAGGCAGCAGUAGGGAAUCUUCCGCAAUGGGCGAAAGCCUGACGGAGCAACGCCGCGUGAGUGAGGAAGGUCUUCGGAUCGUAAAACUCUGUUAUUAGGGAAGAACAAAUGUGUAAGUAACUAUGCACGUCUUGACGGUACCUAAUCAGAAAGCCACGGCUAACUACGUG
rnacentral:rRNA from 1 species